ACUAUUGGAUAGAGUUUUCCAAUGGCAUUGUUUUCUACCAAUCUGACUUAUGUUGAGUUUCGCCAAGACUUGACGGGGCCAUCACAUCUUUUGACCACCCCAAAGUAUCACUCGUUGCGUCAACACAGCAGAGAGUUCGUGAGGAGGGGCCUAUAUCCCUGAUCAGCGGCUUAUCCUUUCGUCCACCACAACACUAACUCACACAGUAACUGAUGACAAUCCUCUCCAAAUAAUGCUCACUGAAUUCAACCUCAGCGCUUCUGUUGACACAGCAUGGCACCAGGGACGGAUCCAGUGAUCCACUAACUUUUCCUAUCAGAGAUCUAGACGGACCUGAAAAUAGCACCUCCUAUACUCUGGUAGGUGAUAAGGUGACGUUUGCAGAGCGGCGUCUAUUGAAUAUCAUACAUUUAUGUUUGAAGCGGAGACCGGCAAUAUUCCAAAGUAAUACGGCAGAUGAAGAGAUCAAUUCAAUUUCACGGACGCUAAUGUUGCCUUGA